AAUAUACAAUGUGAUAGGCGUGGGACUUCUAACCCGUUAAGGCUGAGUACUACAUCUAAUUUUAUCGACAAAAAUAAUAAUAUGGGGGGUUGAACCCCUAAUUGAAAAUAUUGAAAAAUAGUGAUUUUUUCGGUAAAAAUUAUUCACAAAUGAUUUUUUUUCUCACCAAAACAUUAUCAAACAUAUGAAAAAAGUAAUGAAUUAGUUAGCCAAGGUUAUUAGCUACCGUUUGUCGUUUUUUUUUGUUUCUACGACGCAUACAACCUUUGAUAUCAAAAAAAGUAAAAAAUAUAUUAAAAUAGCCAUAAUUUUUAGGGGGAGGGGAUUCGAC